AUUGAACGCUGGCGGCAUGCUUUACACAUGCAAGUCGAGCGGAAGCGCGGGGGCAACCCUGGCGGCGAGCGGCGGACGGGUGAGUAAUGCAUAGGAACGUAUCCUCGAGUGGGGGAUAACCUAGCGAAAGGUGGGCUAAUACCGCAUGAGCUCUGAGGAGGAAAGCGGGGGAUCUGCGGGGGCCUCGCGCUGGGCGGGCGGUCGGUGUCGGAUUAGCUAGUUGGUGGGGUAAAGGCUUACCAAGGCGACGAUCGGUAGCUGGUCUGAGAGGAUGAUCAGCCACACUGGGACUGAGACACGGCCCAGACUCCUACGGGAGGCAGCAGUGGGGAAUUUUGGACAAUGGGGGCAAGCCUGACCCAGCCAUGCCGCGUGAGUGAAGAAGGUCUUCGGGUUGUAAAGCUCUUUCAGAAGGAACGAAAUGGGGGGGACUAAUACUCGUGUCUGUUGACGGUACCGAAAGAAGAAGCACCGGCUAACUACGUG
rnacentral:rRNA from 1 species